CGGAGACCCAGGCACCGAGAAGUAGUUCAGGAAGAGAGAGAAGAGAUUCAGAGACUUAAAAGGAGAAAAAGAACAGGAGGCGGCCAUUCCCAGAGACCGAUAAACAGACGGACCCAAGGAGGUGGAGGAUAGAGCCCUCUUCCCGGUCUGGCAGGAGUCUCCCCUCACUUUGAAUGGGGCCAAAGAGGUCCAGCCCACUAGGCCUCUGGGGAAGGGUGUCCCGGUGCUACUGGAGAAUCUCCCCAAGGGCUCAGCUGGGAAACACCUGUCCUUCAACAAGAGGAUUUACUGCAAACUUCAAGUCUGGCUUGUUAGAAAGUAGAAGACUGUCUACUUCCCAGGUAUGGAGCCCAGGCCCCUGAGGCAGGAAGGUGAGUUCAGGCUUGUCCUUUUUAAAAACACAGGCCUAUGAACAACCGGCUGUAGGUUGUUGAAAAAAUCAACAACCACCCCAACCCAGCCUAUUUAGAGAAACUGAGGAAAGGAAGACUUCCUGAGAGGAAGGCAAAAGUCAAAAGAGGUGGCUUGGGGCUUGUUUCCAGGGGGCCCAUGCCUCCAGAUACCCCUUUCCUUUGAAAUAAACAUGCCCCAAAGAAGCAGUACCCACAGUAUGCGAAUGAAUUCAAUCAGAUUGUUUUCACCUAGCAACUAGCACAGGGCUGGCUAUUCCAAGCAAGAAACCUUUGGACUGUGGUGAGGGGAAGGAGUUAUUUUCUUACUUUUGGAAUCCUGGGAGGGAGGCCUGGGGACUUAAGGCAGUGCGGGGGGGGGGGGGGGGGCUAGGGUUGGUGGGACCAAGAUCAGGGAAGUGCAUCUGGACAAAUUUAGGCCUUUUAAAGUUUUGACUGUGGCUGACUGGCUUACAGCCCAGGAGAGAAGGAGGAAACUCCCUUUUUCUGCUUCCUCUCUUUCCCCUCUCCAGUAGGGAAAGGUUUGCUCCCUGCCAGGAGCCAAGCUCUGGGACCGGUGCACGUUGGAUCACUUUGGAUCUAUUUCUGGUCUAUUUCAGAUUCAACAGGUCUUCAGGGAGGGACUGUCUCUAUCAGGCAAGAUGAAGGUGCACAUUCUAUUGAUCAAGUCUCAUUACAGUCUAUUUGCUUUGGUCAUGUCUGUUAUUUCCACUUGAAGAGACCUCCUUGGAAGCAGGGAACUCAUCUCAGUUUCCCUCCUGUGGAGUGUAGCCCCAAACCACAGGAUAUACUCAUGUUGGGUGAAAAAUGAAUGAAUGAACCUCCUUAUUCAACAAAUAUUUAUUGAAUACCUACCAUGUGUCAGGCAUUGUUCUUGGCACUGGGAAAACAGCAGUAAACAAAACCAAGGUCCUGCCCUCAUGGAGUUUACGUUCCAUAGAGGGGGUUAGACAAUAAACAAAGAAGCAAAUACAAUAAGUCAGAUCGUGGUAAGUAUUAUGGGGAAUGCUAUGAACUUCACCAACUCUUCAAGAUGAGUAUUAUCUCUUUUAUAGAUAUAGUAAGAAAUUAUACUAUUUUAUAGAUGUAAGAAAGCCAAAUUUCAGAGGCUAAGUGACUUGGUCAAGAUGGAGAAGCUGGAUUUGAGUUGCUUUUAUGGGUUAGCCUGGAAACCUGGAGAAAAUCUUGUCUGGGCUCCAGGCAGGUGGACAAAGGCCCGCUCAAGGCAAGGCCAUGUGUGAAAUAGGUGGUGGUUUGUAAACACUGAGCAGAAACAGGCGAGAGCUCUAUUCCCUUGCCAGUUCACUCCUCUUCACCCACCCAAUCCAGGUUCUACAACCUUACCCAGCAGUUGUUUGAACCUAAAUUUGUCUCCUUCCUGCCUCUUAUCUUAGAGGAACUAAAUAAAGCAGAGAUAAACCUAAGUGUUUUACUGAGAAGCUACUAUGUGCCAGGCACCUCACCACACCGAUGUCAUUUAAGACUCGCAACUCUGUGAAGUUAAUAGAAACACCUCCAAGUUUUAAGUUGAGUACGAAAAUUAAAUGAGUGUUCAUUGCAGUAUUAUUUAUAAUGGCCAAAAAGUGGGAGCAACUCACAUGUUCAUCAUCUGAUGAAUGGACAAACAAAAUGUGGUGUAUCCAUACAACAGAAUAUUAUUCAUGCUACAACAUGGAAGAACCUAGAAAACAUGAUGCUCGGGGCACCUGGGUGGCUCAGUCGGUUGGUUAAGCGUCCGACUUCAGCCCAGGUCACGAUCUCGCGGUCCGUGAGUUCGAGCCCCGCUUCAGGCUCUGGGCUGAUGGCUCAGAGCCUGGAGCCUGCUUCCGAUUCUGUGUCUUCCUCUCUCUCUGCCCCUCCCCCGUUCAUGCUCUGUCUCUCUCUGUCUCCAAAAUAAAUAAACGUUAAAAAAAAUUAAAAAAAAAACAUGAUGCUAAGUGAAAGAAGUCGGGCACAAAAGGCCACUUAUCAAAUGACUGCAUCCAUACGAACCAUCCAGGAUAGGCAAAUCCAUAAAGGCAGAAAGUAGAUAAUGGUUGCCAGAGGUUGGAGGAGGAAAGGUCGGAAGUGGCUGCAAGUGGAUACGAAGUUUCCACUUGAAGUGAUGAAAAUAUUCUGGAAUUAGUGGCAAUGGUUGCACAACUAUGUGACUAUAUUAAAAACCACUCAAUUGUAUGACUUAAAGGGGUUAUCAUAGUAUAUGAGUUACAUUCAUUUUUAAAAAGAAAAAACAAAAACCGAGACUUGGUCAGAUGAACAAACUUGCCCAAAGUCCCACAGACAGAAGAAGAUUGAUCUGGUUGCCCAAAUCUGAAUUGUUUUCCCUGUAUGAGGCUGAGAAGUAUGGAGAGGAGUGCUUCUGCUUCCUUUGAGGCUGGACUGCAGUGCCUUGAUCCUUUUCGUGGUUAACUACAGUUCUGUCUGCUGCAAUUAAAACCCUCUUAUCUUUAGGACACCUUACCUUUGCCACCCUCUCUGGCCCAUGCAGGAACCUCCUGAGUGUUCCUGACACUCUCCCCGUUCCUCCCUCCUUCCUCCUCUGGCUGAAUCUUUCCAACACCUAUGUCUUUCUGACCUUUCCUAUUCCACCAUUUAGGCAUCUAUCUUACUCACCUCUUGGACUCCUCAGAUCUGGCACCAGUUGGCCAGAGUCCCUGGCGGGAGACCUCACCAGCCGAAGGUUGGCAGAGGUCACAGCUGCCUAGUGGCCUCUUCAGACUGUCAGGAGGCUCUUCUCAUCAAAAUCCUGCAACCCAGGGACAUCUUGACUUUCCCCGGCCCUUACAGGUGUUUGCCUCACUGAUCUUUUCCAUACCCCCCUUCCAGCCCCCCACCCCCACCUAUCAGAAUCAACUUUUAUCCCAACCCAGUUCUGCAUGCUGGCCUUCCCCAAGAUGGGGUUCUCUGUGUCCGACUUGUUUUCCAAUAGGGUGGUUGUUUCCACCUUUGUUUUCCAAUAGGGUAGUUGCUGAGGGCCAGGGUACCCUUUCAGUCCCUUCUUUUCCUAGGAAGUUGAGACAAGAGGGUCAGGAGUUGCUGGGUUCUGGCCCCCACCCCUCCCAGAAGCAGUGUCACCUGAGGUCAGAAAGUUUUCGGAAGGGGGUGGGGAGGAGACAUGAGGGACUUACCUUCGGUGCAGCCUUUGUGUUUCCCCAGUGUUGGCCCUGUUAGGAAAGAGGAGCAGAGAAACCAAUUUGACUAUAAAUUGUAUACACACACACACACACACACACACACACACACGGAAAGAAGAGGAGAGGGAAAGAGAGUAGGAGCACACAGCACAAUGAUGUCCCGGCACCUUCAGUCACAGUUAUUAUCUCGUGUCAUCCUCCAAUAACCCUGUGAUGUGGCUUUUGUUAUCUCCAUUUCACAGAUGAGAAGGCCGAGGCACUGAAAGCUGGGAAGGGACACAGACUGGACUCAAAUGCUGUUUGUCUGACUCCAUUCAUUUCGAGCUGAUUUCUCAACACCAAACUCGGUAGCUGUGGCCCUCGCUUUGCAGGAGUAUCUUGCAUGUGUCUAGGUGAGUUCCGGCCCUAAAGCCACCUGGUAACCACCCCCCAAGCGCCUUCCGCUCCCCUCUCCCCUGCCUCCCCUCUCCCCUGCCUCCCCACUCCCCUGCCUGCAGAAUGAAGAAGUGCCUCCAAUUAAAAGAGAAGCAGCUGGGGCUGGGGCUGGGGCUGGGGGAGGAGGAAAGGGAGGGCUCAGCCCUAGAGGGCGGCCCCUUUGGAUCCCACACGGCUCCCUCCCCCCUCUGGGAGAGACCCCUGGGCCAGGGGUUGUACUUUAGCUUAGGGGUGUGUGUGUGAUAACUUAAUUACUUUGUGUUUGUGGGACUGUGUGUCCAUGAGGGGAAAGCCAGAUGUGAAAGUGUGCGUGACAGUGGGGGCAUGAUAGCCUGGGCAUGUCUCUGAGGAAUACUUUUUAAAAUCUACCCAACAAAUAUGUAUUGAGCGUCUAUUAUGUACCAGUGUUAGGCUGCUGGGAUUCAAAUGCAAGCAAAAUGCAUGUCUGUGAGGGGACUAGGGGACAGGAGGGGAGUCUAGGUCAUUUUUACAACUGUAUUUGCCUGUGAUGCCAGUGAGUGUGUUUUUUGUAACAGAUAAGAGUGUGUCCCUAACUGUUCCCGUAUAACGGGCACAUAUGAUGGGGUGAGAGCAUCCGUCAGCUACUGUGUGAAAGUGAGGGUGUGAUAAUGGUGUGUGUGUGUAUGCAUGCUCGUGAGUGUGUGUAUCUGUGGGAGAGAUGUCUUAUUUUCUAGUGUAGUUGUCUGGGAAAUGGCCAUAUGCGGGCCUGUGGGUGUGGAAAGGGGGAGACGGGAUAUGCCCAAUCGAUAGUUCGCAGGGAAAGGGUAGAACAAGCUGAGAAAUAUGUAAGGAGAUGUGUAACAUGGAGCAGUGGCAGUGGGGCCAUUGGGAUCUGGAUUUCCAAUACGGAAGUUUCUGCCUUGCUCACCUGCCUCAGGGAAGGGGGGGGGAAUGGAGGGGCAGGUGCAGCUGGUGACUUGAGGACUUAGAGACCCAGUAAAGGGCACUCCACCUCCAAGGUGUGUGGGAGGGUGUUAUCUCUAGGUUAGGGAAGGAGGGAGUGAGCAGGUCAGGCUGGUUCCAGCUACACGACUCAGUGAUUUCUCAGGGUUGGGGGCGGGGGUGGUGUCUGGGGCCAGCCCCAGGUGCUCCUACCCAAGUCCUUACAGGAAUAGGGACUGAGGAUCUCUCCAACAUGGAGGGACAAGCGUCCAUUUAUUCAUCAGUGGAGGGACCACAGACGGAUUGAAGACAGAGAAAGAUAGACCUUUCCUGCUAGAAAACAUACCUCAGCUGUCACCUGGGUUAGGAGCCAGCUCCUUACCCCAAAGCCUGGUUGAACAACGGGGUCUUAAGUCUAGGCCCUGCCCUGUAGGGGUCCCCUUCUUGGCCUCUAUAUAAAGGCAGCUGUUGGCCCAUCACCUCUGGGCAUGGAGCUAGGACCUCAGGCCUCUAUCUGACCAACUCUCCCCCAAAGGAAGCCCAGAGACCCUCAGGUCCCACCAUCCAGACCCAUGCCCGUGGCAGAGCAGAUCUUUGAUGCCAAGUCUUCUCUCAGAAUGCCAGGAUGGGGAAAGGGUUGGGCAGGGUGUGGGCUGAGGUUCGGGGCAGAAUAGCGCUCUGUGACCCUGCCAUCCGUUGACAGCUCCUGAAGGGCUCCCUGGGCACCAAGUUUAGCUUCCCACCACUGGACCCAGUAGAGCACCCCAGCCUGGGACCCAGGACCACAGGUACACCCCAGCAUGCCGACCCUCGGCCUCCGUCCUUGGCCCUGCCCAGCCGACAAGUGGGUCCAUGCUGAUCCGAGGAAUUUCCGAAGGCAGAGGGUCCUAGCCAGUCCCUGGGUGUGCUGAGUGUGGUGUGGGGGAGGAAGAAGGAGCCGGGGAGUGCCAGCUUGCUGAAUGCGGGGCCUGGGGGGGGCCACCACCACCUCCUAGAAACCUACUCCCUGCACCCCAGGGCAGGGAGCAGGGGGGGACAGGGUGGGGUCUGGCAGGCUCUUCAGGAUCGGUGGGCCAGACCUCUGGGUGUUCUGUCGCUCCAGCCCCUCAGUCAAGCUGAAAAUGAGGGCGGCUUUCCGUAUGGGUCACGAACCUGUAAGCGGUCAGAUCUACCCAGAUUUCUGGCCUCAGUUCAGGUCCUCAGCCCUCCUGGGGCAUACAUUUGGGCCGCAGAGGAAGGGCGGGUGGAGACCUCCCAGCUCCGGAAACCCGGGCCCCUAGAGGGGUUCAGUCCUGGGCUGCGGCGGGGAGGGUCUUGCGGUCACCCAUAGGAGCUUGGGCCACCUCGGCUUGGACAGGUCUGGACAUUUCCGCGGGCGCUCGGGGCACGUCGGAAGCUGCAGGUGCUCCCUGAGCCGCAGCCACACUGCGCUGCGAACGGAAAACCUGGCCAGUGACGACCGCCGCUCCCGCUGAGAAGCCCUGGCCGCGGCGCCUCUGCGCACCUCUGCCCGCACCUCUACCUCCGCGCUGCGGCUGCGCCCACUGGGCGCCGCAAGUGUCCUCCGCGUAAAUGAGUUGAGCUGGAGUUGGGGUUUGAAAGGAACUGGCCAAGCUCCUCCUCCAUCAGAAAACCCCGCUGCUGGAGGCAGGGGAACGGAUUCCGCCUGGGAGACCCAGCUGCUGUCGAGGAAAUGUGUUCCACGCUCUGUCCCGACUGCAUAUGGCCCCCGCAUAUACACGAAUGGUCCCUGGCAGACACAACCAACACCCGAGGCCUUCCAGAUUCAGCGUUGGAGCAAAUCCAGCACCCUCUCUCUCAGGCUCACGCUCACAGGUCCACACUCACCCUUGCACACACACACACACACACACACACAUACACACACACACACUCCUGUGUGCAAUUCUGACAGCUGCUUGCAAGGAAGGCCUCCUUCACGCCUCCACACACAAGUACACAAGGAUGUUACAAACACCGCCUUCCACCCAGACCCCGGGCUCAGAUAAAAACCACCUCCCUCCCUUAGGGCGCGCACUCUGCCGGCCACCUUGGGCCCACGAGCAGCCACACAGCUUCCCAACUUUUCUGGGGAGGCCAAAGGCAGGGAGGGAGGGGGCGGGGGAGCCGCAGGUGCCAGGAGUUGGGGUGGGGGUGGCUAAGGGGGAGGGACUGUAUCCAUAUGUAUGGGUUCCGCGCACAAAGAGCAGCUGCCCUAAGCUGAGCCCCGCGGGCCCAGAGUUGCUCCGAGGCGGCAGCGGCCCCGCUAAUUGAAUUAGACCGGCCAGGCCCUGCCACCCGCGCGCCACCCGCGUCCGCUCUGCCACACGUCCCUGGCCGCCGCAGGCGCUGGUUGGGUGCCGAGGGACGGGUUGAGGGAAGGAGGCACCGCCGCCUGAGCCCCUGCCCGAGGCGUCCUCUCCCCCCGGAAAUAAUCCCAUUGUUCUGCGGGCUGCGUGUGGCACUGGGCGGCAGGGAUCCCCAACUGGACUGCGACGACGACGCUGUGAUUAAUGGGACAGCGGGGAGGGAGCGGACGUGGAGGGGGGGGAAGCCCUCCGCCUAGCCCACCCGUCUCCCUGGUUCUCAGCUGCCUUCUCACUCCCUGGUUUGAGGGCCCCUUCCCCACUGGAGUCUGGGGUCUGGGGAAGUGAGCGCAGAACCGGGAGGCAGGCCGACGGGGCCACCGGAAAUUAGACCAGUUGGAUGUCUUAGUGAGGGGGGCAAGGCGGUGGGGGCAGGCACGGCUGCAUGGGUGUGUAAGGGCAUUGAGAGCUGUGAAUCCCUCUGCACUGAAUGGGGUGCUGGGGGGCGGUGUAUGAAUGUGGCUGAAGUGUAGAGUGUGCGGUUGUGAGAUAUGAAAGGGGUGUGCUCCCGCCUCUGGGGGCCAUCCCAGCCCCAAGGCCAGGGAGCUGCGCUGAGCCUCUGGCACUUCCCAGGGUCCCCAGGAAGUGCUUAGCUGGGCACCUGCCUUCUCUCAUAAUGGAUUUCCAGAAGCAGCCUCACCCGAGACCCAGCCCCAGCCCCACCACCGGCAACUGAUGGGGUGGCUCCUGAUCGAGGCCUCCACCUCCCUGCCCCCACCUUUCUGGAUAAUGCCUUCCGAACAUUCCUUUCGUUCCGCUCUUCUCCCACUCAACGUCCUCCGCACCUCCGCUGAUCGGGUCUUUUGAGGUCUGGCUCAUAGCGCCCUAACCACAGAAAGCUUCCCCACACGUGGCUGGGAAAGAACUCCACUGCCCAAGAUGGCCCUCACAUCCCUGAGGUAGGAAGCACGUCUGCAUGUCUGUCCCGCUCUAAACUGCAGGUGCCUGGAGGCGCACCAGAGUCCCAGCUUGUCCCCCAGCACUCAUACACGCCCACGGGCGCUCUCAGUACCAGUGAGUCCUCCUUGUUGGUGAGCUCCGCCCAAGAGCUGUGGAGACCGUGGGCACACGGCCAUGCUUCUGAGGUCAUGGCGAAGUUCGCCUCCUUGCCUCCUUCACCCAGAAGCAGGACACACGGUCCUGGCCCCAAGUGGGUGUCGGGUGGGGGUGCCCUAGGGACCGAGCCAUGGAUUCCUAGGAGGGUGGAAGAGGACCCCCACCUCAGGGAACCGAGGGCUGCAGCAGGCUUUGGCCACCCAGUGGUCAGCACUGAUACGGAGACCCUGCCCCGGCAAGGACCUCUGGCCCUCAGGCUUCCUGCCUGAUGUUGCCCUCCGCCUGCCCACUGAGCUCUGCCAAGCCACCCAGGUUAUGCAGUCAGGGCAAGGUCCCUAGAAAUCCAACGAGGGUGGGAGCGGGCCAAAGCUGGGGCUUCAAGCCCACCGGAGGGGCUCAGUGCAUCUGGCAGGGACCAGGACCCUCUGGAGGAGUAACACCAAGGACCGGGCUGGGCAUCCUGGUAGGUCAGCCUGAGAGUGCUAGGCGCCAGCACUGCCCACCCUCAGGCCCAGGGCCAGGCCUCCGCAGCCCUUACUGUAUUUCCCGGGACUUUUACUGCAGCGCCAAGAUGAGCAGUGACAUCCCCUCUCCCCUUUCAUAAAUAUUGCAUCUUUGCAAUGCAAUUACAGGAGACGGAGCGGCAUGAGCAUUUACUAAAUAAGAUUAUGGGGUAAUGCUAAUGCAGUUUAUGUCUGCGCUCUGACACCAGACAAACUCCCUAUUAAUAACCUCUCAAUGAGGCGCGAGGCUCAGAAAGCAGAGCCUGGGGCUGCCCAGGGCUGUGCACUAGCUCAGGCAUGGUCACAGCAUGGCCACUCCAUGCUGGGGGGGGGUGGGGGCUCCCGUGGCUCCCACCCUCCUCUCUGGGCCUCUUGGCUUGGAGUUCCUUCCACACUCCUUAGGAGGCAACCUUACUUACCCUCCACCCUCACGCCCCGGGAGUCUUACUGCCACCCCAGCUUCCUCCACUUCCCUUCUUUUUCCUGGCUGGCACCUCACCCCUCUCUUUGGAAUUCACCCUGCUGGAGAGGCCCAAUCCCCCCCACCCCCUCACGCCCUCACAAAGGACAUGCAAGGCACAUUCUUCUCUGGCUUAGAAACCACUCGCCAUUGCCUAUAGGAAAAUCCAAGCCCUUUAGCCCACCAUUCAAGGCCUUCAACUUGCCGCUUCAUUGGUAGUACCCUCCCCCAAUCCCCGGCUACCAUUCACCAUUUUGUAUCAGUUGAGACAAAUUCUCUCACACCUUUCCACUGACCGCCAUCUCCUCAGUGCAAUGCCCUGGCAACAUCCAUUUCUCUCCUAUCCCAACCCCCCCCCCCACACACACACACCCUACUCCUACUGUAUGUUGGGUUCUGUGCUGGGCGUGCAGCCUGCUUAAGAUUCUCUCUCUCCCUCUCCCUCUGCCCCUCCCUUGCUUACACAUGCACAUGUUCUCUCUCUCUCUCUCUCUCUCUUUCUAAAAAAAAUAAAAUCAAAAUCAUACACAUGCACAUGUUCUCUCUCUCUCUCUUUCUAAAAAAAUAAAUAAAUAAAAAUAAAAAAUAAAUGUGUAUCAGAACAGAUCGAUUAACUUCUCUGGCCCUUACUUUUUUUGUUUAUAAAAUGGGCCCAAUGGACUCUGCCUUUUAUUUCAGCAAGCCAUUGUUGGAAUCUUCCUAUCUCAUUGGCUGUAGCUCUGCUUUACCAUCUUUCUUACUGUAUUAAAAUUUGUGUAAAAUGUUUGUCAGCCCUACUUGUCUGGGAGCUGUUGAAACUCAAUGCUGUCGGCCCUGCCCAGUUACCCGAACCAGCCGAUGAGCGCCUGGGACUAGGAGAAACCCUUCUCCUUGCCUCCUCAGUUUUCCUCCUCUUGGGGCCUCUUUAAGGUCCCAUUGAGAGGAUAGGGCUAAAGCAGUAGAGACAAGUUCUGGAAAAAUAGAACAUCAGUGCAGCAGGAAAAUGUAGGCAGGAUUUCAAGGUCAAGGGAGCCAGUCCCCUGCCUCAGGCCCUGGUGCUGGCUGGUCAUUAAUGCAGCCCUGGGUUCUUUUUGGCCUUCAAAUAAAAAGAUAUUUCAUGCCCAAGGGCCUCAGUAAUGAGGAAUCAGGGAGGGGCUGGGUAGCCUGCAGGUUCAGCAAAACCUUCCCCACCUCAGAGGCCUCCCCCUCCUUCCUCCCUCCUCCUCUGUCUCUCUGAAGUCAGCGAAACCUUUCAGCAGCUUCGGGAAGAAGAAGGUUCCUUUGCCUUUGGAGCAGGGAGAGGGAUGAAGGGUACCGGCACGGCCUAAAGAGGCCUCCUGGAGCCUCGCUCCUCUGCCCCCACCUCUCUACCAAGGACAAACCAUCUUUACCUAGAGAGGCCAACCUGUGGGGAAAGGCUGGGGCCCAGGGCCUGGAGGAUGGGAGCGGGGCAGUGCCUUACCAUACUUUCCAGUCCCUCACCCCUGAGAACUGGGGCUAGCGCAUACUUACCACUAACUCUAACCUGCCAUUCCUGCCCUGGGCUACAAAUGACUUUGCUGAGUGCUGCAAACCUGUCUGAAUCUGUCUGGGGCAUUUCGGACUUACCGCAACAUCCCUUUGCUUAUUUACGAAGCAUUAGGCUUGACUCUUUUUUUCUGUUUUCCCUUUCUCUCUUACCUGUCCUGUCCAGUCUCCCUGCUGAGUGUUUUCUUAGUGCUCUUGGUCUGGGAAACUUCCUAACCAGCCCCUUUACCCAACUCGUAGGUUGUAUGCGCACAAACGCACAUGCAAACUGAGAGGUGCGUGCAGACCUUUACUCUCAAAAACACAUGAACAAAGUCCUGAGCGUAACAUUAACCCCCCUCCCCCAUGAAGUCCCGGAUCCACCUGUGCAGACAGACAUGCACCUGCGCUGUCCCCACUGAAAUGCCAUCUCCCACUGUCUCCCAUGCAGAGAAGUAUACAGCCACAUAGGUUAGCAUGUUCAUGCAAACACAAAUACUCAACCAAUCAACAUGCCAAGCACAGUUUCUGAAGUUGGUGCUGCCAUUGAAUCUUCCAGAGUUUGUCGGGGAUCAAACUCUGGAAGAUUUGAUAUCUAUUUCAUUCUUUAUUUUGUUAAGUUUAUUUUUGAGAGAGAGAGAGCGAGAGAGCGAGCGCUCGAGUGAGCGAGGGGCAGAGAGAGAGGGAGAGAGAAAGAAUCCCACGCAGGCUCCCAACUGUCAGUGCAGAGCCCAAAGUGGGACUCAAGCUCACCCGAUAAGGGGCUCGGGCUCACAAACCAUGAGAUCACGACCUGAGCCGAAGGUGGAUGCUUAACCAACUGAGCCACCCAGGCGCCCAGGAAGUGCCUUCUUUUAUCCUGGGUGGGAACUCAGUAUAUUUAGGAUAACAUAUGCUCAAGGGUAUCUGGGGCUUGUAGAAUUGUAGGGCGGUAUUGGUAAAAACCACUCCCCACGAGGUACCUGAGCUAUGAGUCAUUCCGGAGGACCUGAAAAAGUAGGAGGAGCACACAUCUGAACAGAAGGAUGUGGUCUACUCACUGGAAUCCGAACCUGUCCAUCAUGUGCACUCUGUAAAUCAGGUGCGGAUCCUGAGGCGGGAAGUAGGAAGGAACCCGGUGGGCGGGCUCCACAGGGCGUGGACUUUGAAACAGGAAAGGAAGGAGCUAUCUGGGCCUCUCUCAGGGAGUGUCCCUCAGUUCCAAGAAGCACAAGGUAAAGCUAGCACUUAUCUUGGGGGUGACUACUUAGGCCCUGGUGAAGCCAGGCCUCACCGUGGCCAGGAAAAGCAGUGGAGCUGUACCAAAAGGGUUUGUUUCCACCUCAGCGUACGUGAAGAAGGCCACUCGUGGCAAAGAAAAAUGGACUAGGGUAAAAGGUGGGGGCUUCAGGAGGCUGGGGAGGAGGGAAGUAUAAUGGAAAGACCAAAGACACUGAUGUUGGAACAGGAUUCAAAUUGUCCCCGUGCUCCACUAGCCAUGUGGUUUUGGGCAACAUGUUUAGCCUCUCUGAUCCUCGGUUUACUCCUCUAUAAAAUGAAGAUACGCCACCUACUUUGUUUGAUUUUGGUGAAGAAUAAAAGAGAUAAAAAUACCUAAAAGUGCUCAGCCCAAUGGCUGGCACAUGGCAGGAUCCAACGGAUGGGGGCUGUAUGUGAGAAGAAAGUAAUUAGAAGGCCAACGUAAGAAAGUCUGAAACGCAGGACCAGAAGGUUUAGGGCCUUCCUUUCCUGAAGGGGAUUUGGGCUGCUGGGGCCAAGGCAGGACCCAGAAAAAGAAGGGUGGCUUCAAGUUGAAGUGCCUGUACCUGGUCAAGUGAGCAGAGCACAGUGGUUAAUAAUCCAAUGCCAGACGGCCCGAGUUCAAGUUCUUCUAGCUAUAAGACCUACAGCAAAUUUCUUUAUGGCUUGAUUUCUUUAUAAAACGAGCAUCAUAAUAAUAACAGGAUCUAGCAGGGUGCCUGGGUGGCUCAGGUGGUUAAGCGUCUGACUCUCGAUUUCUGUUCGGGUCACAUCUCAGUUUUGUGAGAUCGAGCCCCACAUGGGGCUCUGCACUGACAGUGAGAAGCCUUGCUUGGGAUUCUCUUUCUCCCUCCCUCUCUGCCCCUCCCUCUGUUCACAUAUGCGUGUGUGCCUGCUCUCUCUCAAAACAAAUAAAUAAACGCUUAACAUAAUAACAACAAUAACAAUAACACCUAUCUUGUGAACUUGAUCUGAGAAGUAAAUGAGUUAUUAUUUGUGAAGUGCUUAGAAUAGUACCUGACACAGAAUAAAUGCCCUACGAAUGUAUGCUCAGUCAAAGAAACAAACCAGACUCACAUGCUGACGGGGGACCUGGUCCCGGGGACUCGGUGGGGCGGCCACACACCAGAGGCAGCCUGCCUCUUUGGCUGCAUGAUCAGUGAUCUUCAGAACCCUGUGCUUUCGAACUCCUGGUUUUGUCCUCCCGUGGCUGUGGUUUGUUUACUUUAGGAACAGGUUACCCUUUUAAGUUUUCAAGGUGCUUGAGGGUUUGUUAAGGGAAGAGUAGACAUUUCUUUAUAUGUUGCUGGUGGUGCUGUAAAUUAAUCCCGUCCUCCUCGAGUGAUGUAACAAAAACCAUGAUACUGUUCAUAUCCUUUGAUCAGAUAAUCCCACUUUUGGGACCAUAUCCCAGGGAAAUAAAAAAAGCAAUUUGUACAAAGAUGUUCAUAGGAGCACCAUUCAUAACAGCUCAACCUUGGAAGCAGCCCAAACACCCAACACUAGGGUAACGGUUAAGCCAGCUAGAAAGCUGCUUCACAAAGGAAUAGCACACAGCCAUUAAACUACUAACGAGGGCGCAGGUAAGGAGUGGGACGUGCCGUAUUCCUAGGGGAAGAUGCCAAAGUGUAAAAAUGUCAGAACUCCCUAAGAAAAUGUACAGGCUCAAUGUCCUACUAAUCAAAAAUCAAAGCAGACAUUUUCUUAUAUUAAAAGAAAAAAAGAUUCCGACAUUCACAUGAAAGAGUAAAUAGGUGGACAUAUCAAAUGUUUCUUUUUUUUGUUAUUUUUUAUUUUUUUUUAAAUUUUUUUUUCAACGUUUAUUUAUUUUUGGGACAGAGAGAGACAGAGCAUGAAUGGGGGAGGGGCAGAGAGAGAGGGAGACACAGAAUCGGAAACAGGCUCCAGGCUCUGAGAGGUCAGCCCAGAGCCUGACGUGGGGCUCGAACUCAUGGACCGCGAGAUCGUGACCUGGCUGAAGUCGGACGCUUAACCGACUGCGCCACCCAGGCGCCCCUUUUGUUAUUUUUUAGUGUUUAUUUAUUUUUGAGAGACAGAGACAGGGCGUGAGCGGGGGAGGGGCAGAGAGAAGAGGGAGACACAGACUCUGAAGCAGCCUCCAGACUCUGAGCUGUCGGCACAGAGCCUGAUGCGGGGCUCGAACCCAUGAACCGUGAGAUCAUGACCUGAGUCGAAGUCAGAUGCUCAACCCACAGAGCCAGCCCCCCGGGUGCCCCAUGAAUACCUUCUGAUCUGACUCCUGAACCUGGCCCUGCUGAACUUCCCUGCCUCCAAACCAGACUGAGACACCUCCUACCAGCUCCCUAGAGGCCAGACUGCCUGGGUUCCAAUUUCAGUUCUCCACUUAAAAACUGGGCGAUCUUGGACCAGUAGCUUAACCUCUCUAGAUCUCAGUUUUCUUAUCUGGAAGGUGGAAUAAGAGUAGUACUUAUAUAGAGAAUUAUUGCCAUGAUUUAAUCAGUCAACUUACGGAAACCCAGAGAACAGUGUCUGGCCUAGAGUAACAUCUCAGUAACAGUUGGUCAUUCUUUGGGUUGGGUUUGGGGGAACUCUAAAGGGAGGAGGCAGAAAACUGUUUAAUUUCUCUGAUGCUUAUGUCUUCCGGGUCUCUGGUUGGUUUUGAAGCCUAGGGCACCUGGCUUUCUCCUUCAUCUCAGCUGACGAAGCAAGAGAGUCUUAGCCAAGAGGGGGCCCUCCGUGCAGACCAAGAAUCCAGUGCUGACACACAGGGCUCAGCUGCCUCAGAUUCUUCCAGCCUGCGUGCCCUCCCUACCCCAGCCGGGGAGUUUAGCCCUGCCCUGCCCCCAGGGACUAAGACCAAGUCAAGUCUCUGUCAUGGAUUUGGGGAAAAUGGGCUUUGUGCUUAGGGGAUAAAGAAGGGCCAGGUUCUGAGCGCUUGGCUGCAGGCGAUGUCUCACUGACCUGAGACAACUCCCCCAGCCGAGGACUGGCCCCCAUGCCGGCUCUGUCCUCCUUUUGCUCAGCUUCCUCCAGAGAUCACUCUCUCCAACUGAAGACUGGAGCUCCCGCCAGAAGUUUCCAGGCUUGCAGGAAAACGGGGGUGCUUUUCUUGAACUGUCUCUGUGUAUUUGUCUUGCUAAGUCAGGCCCAGAUGGGGUGAUAGGGCUGGGAGGUGGAGUGGGUCUAUUUUCUGUCAUCUUUCCCUAUAUGUCCCUCACACACAAACCUGGGAGUGUCCUCAUCUUGUGGUGAAAAUUUUGUUCAUUGCUCUGUUUGACUACACUUGAUCUUAGCCAAAAGGCCAAGAAGCAAUGUUUAUUGCUCUGUUUUCUUGUUAUCGUCACUUUUGUUGUAAUUAGCCAAGGUAAGACUUCCCAGAAUCGACUUAGUGGCCACUUAGUGGCCUCUAGGAGGAGCAAAGGAAGUGGCUACUGGGUCUGUACAGGAGAGAGAGACAUGAGGGCAGGGAUCUGUGAGAGCCAGAUUGAAAAACACUUUCUUCUUCUAGGGACUAGACCAGGUGAACCUUUAGUAGCCAAGGUGGCUACAGAAUGAAGUGAGUGUCAGCCCUAGGGAAGGGGGGUUGCCCAAAGGGUCAACUGCAAAGAGUAAACAAGGAGGAGGCCUGGAAAGGGCUGAGGAUCCUUCCUGACUCCCCAGUGAGACCAGCCCCACGUAUGUGCUCAAAGAGUUUUGAACCCGCACAGAGUCGGGAGGUUGACUACCAAGAAACCUUCCUGCCUUCAUCUAGCCAUGCGUGUACUCACUUAUCUAUCCAUGUAGCCCACUUCGCUGAGCUUUGUUCUAAGCCAGGCACCGUGCCUGCUAUGUGAGAGCUAGGCAGGCCCCUUGGGAAAGGGGUUGGGGGGCCUGGGGGGCAGGCCCAGCAAGUCCCUUACUUCUGUCAAAGCCAGAACCAACCACUUCUCAACCUUUCUGGGAUUCCAGUGACUCUGUAGUCUGUCUGUGUUUGUUUGUUUUGUUUGUUUUUUGUUUUCGCUCACCCCUGUUUGCCUGUAGUUCCUGGCGAUUAGAAAAACAAGCAGGGCAAAGCCUUAAACAUGAGAAAGGGGACCUGUGCUUGUUUCAGAACCCAGGAGCGGAAGAGGCCUGGAGAGGUGCCAGGAGAGAAGAGUCCAGGGACGGAGAGCCCAAAGUCUGAGCUUUCUUCCCCAUCCCACCCUCCCCAGUGUCCCCCACCCCACCUCCUUCCAGAUCCCCGGUUCCUCUCUCUACACCCCUUUAAACAUCCCCCGGCACCGCACAGUUUCUCACGUCCCCUCUCCCUCCCCCUCUGGAGUCUGGCUUUGAGCCUUGGGUGCUGGAGGACUUGGGCUGGGCCUGAGCACCCCCCCCCCCAUGAUCAUUCGUCCUGGGAUGAGCCCUGGCCUCCAGGGGUCAAAGGUGGCAGCUUUAUUUACUCCCAGUCAAGCUCUCACUGCUCGGGUGCUUUCAUCAUUUUGUUAUAAUGGAAACAGCCCGAUGGCCACAGGCGCCUUGGGAGACCGUCAGCCACCUCCCUUCUCCCCCCAGCCUCCAGACACACAGACACUUGUAUCCCUCCAAUAAGGGCUCGGAUUUCUCAGCAAAGUACAGCUUUGCUCUUACGACAGUUUUCAGCUGUCGGUGUGAUCACAUUCCUCUGUCUGUUUAGAGCCUGUGCCAGAGAGGCUGGGGGGCUGGCCCGCGUGUGAGAGUGGGCAUGAGUGUGCGAAAUGGGUACGGUGCACGAGUCUGAGAGUGCGUGGCGUGAGUGUGUGUGUGUGUGUGUGUGUGUGUGUGUGUGUGACAGUCACGUAGAUGAGCCUAACGGGAAUGCUCAUAUGUGCGUGAGAGCCCGGGCAUGUCCGUGCUGUGCGUGUGCAUACUCGUAGCAGAACCUUAUUCACAUAAGCCGGCCCGUGUGCCAGCUCUUACAAGUGUGUGUGCAUCUCCACGUGCAAAUAUCGUUUAAGGAUGUGUCUGCACAACAUGGAUAGAUCUCAGAACUAUAACGCUGGGCAACAGAAGACAGACAAAGAAGGUAACAUACUCUGUGAUUCCAUUCAAAUAAAGUGUAAAAACAGGAAAAUCCAUGUUUGGUGUAAGAAGUCGGAACAGAGUAUUGUGCCUGGAAAGGGGGCCCGAGGGCAUUCCUGGGUACUAAUGAUAUUGUACUUUUUUAAAAUUCAUUUUAAAAAAAAUAUUUUUUAACGUUUAUUUAUUUUUGAGACAGAGAGAGACAGAGCAUGAACGGGGGAGGGGCAGAGAGAGAGGGAGACACAGAAUCCGAAACAGGCUCCAGGCUCUGAGCGGUCAGCACAGAGCCCGACGCGGGGCUCGAACUCACGGACCGUGAGAUCGUGACCUGAGCCGAAGUCGGCCGCUUAACCGACUGAGCCACCCAGGUGCCCCUUUAAAUUCAUUUUUGAGAGAGACAGAGAUAGCGUGAGUGGGGGAGAGGCAGAGAGAGGGAGAGACAGAGAGAAUCCCAAGCCGGCUCCACACUAUCAGCCCAGAGUCCGACGCUGGGCUCGAGCUCACGAAACCACGAGAUCAUGACCUGAGCCGAAACCAAGAGUGGGAUGCUUAACCGACUGAGCCACCCAGGUGCCCCAAUAAUAUUGUACUUUUUGAUCGGGAUGCUGCUUACAUGUAUACAUGUAUGUGUCCACUUUGUGGAAAUUCACUGACCCCUAUACUCAUAUAUAAUGAGAAAUCAUAAAGUACAUGUAUAAUUUUACUGGCUGAAUAUGUUAUAAUUCAGUGAAACAUUGGUCCAAGAAUAUCUAACCUGAAGACCGUCCCCUGCACACCCCCCCGCGUCCCUCCCACAUGCCUGCGUUGCUCACCUUCUCCAACUGGCCCCUCGGCCUGCUUUCCCUCCUCACACACCCCCCCCCCCCCCACCACCAGCACACACACUGUCUGGGUGUGUAAGAGGCCUAUGUCUCUGGGUUGCCGAGAUGCCUGCUCGGAUCCCAGCUCACCUCUGGGCUUCUCCCCACAGCCCUCCUUUUCACUCCCAUCUCACCUCUUGGUCUCUCCCCGAACUCAGUGACUCCCUUGGGAGGCAGUGUCCCUGAAGGCAGAGUGAAGAUGACGAAAGAUUUGGCUUCACCCUCCGGGAGCCCCCAAGCUGACGUUCUGGGUCUGGACAGGCCUCCAGCGUGCACACCAGUGUGGAAGGUCUGCCACGCUCCUGCGGGACAAACGACACAUGGGAGGGAGUGGGUGACCGCAAGGCAUUAGUUAAGGACGGCCUUUUAUGAAGGAAAAACCUUGAAGGUCUCUCUCUGAAGACCCCAAAGGUGAGCCUUGGCUGCACUAUUUAAGCUCCCAGAAUCUGGCUCGUUAAUCUGUAAAGGGAGAGAAAGCACUCUGGUUUCCAGCACCGUCCCUGUGAUUAUCUGUGCCUGAGUGUCUCUUUGUGUACAGGACUGUGUGCACAUGCCCGCGGGUGAGGCGUGUGACUGUGGGUAUGCUUGCGCCUGUGUCACCAGAUGGGGUCCUGUAUGAUUUCAUAGGGAGUGUGCUCCUGUUCCAUGCAGGAGGCAGGAUAAGCAUAUCGCAUUCCAGAUCACUUUGCCCCGUGAUUCUCACAAACACUUCCCUGCCACAUGUCUCAAUUUGGGGUUCGGAACUUCUGAUAGAAAUCAGAGCCGGGACAUAGGGUCUACACUGGGAAGGGGGUUAUGGCUCCAGAGAAGAGGGGGAGCCUGGCUCGACUCUCCCAUCUUUCUCCAGGUUGGGUUUAUUCACUCCCUCCCAAGCUGGCGCCUGGCAUGGCACCCUGAGAAACCUGGCCCUGUCAGCUCCGUCCCUGGCCCAGGGCCCUCCCCCAAGUCGGAGCUCCUCCCACCCUCUCCCAAACCUGCUCAACCCGCCUGGCAGGCCAGCGUCUCCCAGAGGUGCCUCUGGUGCCCCCUGGGAGGGGGGGAACAGGCAUCCCACCGUCAUCAGGAGAGGCAGCAAGAGUAGCAGCAAUGGGGUAGGUGGGAAGGCAGGCUGACCCCUUCGGGAGGGGUUGGGGAAAUUAGGCUGCCAGAAAUUGCCUCGAUCCUUCUCCUGACCUGAGCUCGCUGCGCCCCCUCCGCCAUGGUCCCUGGUCCCUCUUUCCUGCCGGCCAGAAUUUUCCCGCUCUUCACCACCCACCCUCAAGGGCUCGGUCCUCCCUCCUGGCUCAGCUAACAUCCAAUCUGAAUGACCCAGGGGGGCAAAUGGGGCAUUGGCCUGGAAUGUCCUAGAAGCACAGAAAGCAUGAGAGCUAGGUGUGAGUCAUCCCAUCCCUCUCCAGGGCCCCCUUGAGGACAGGCCUGGGCUCUGGAUCUCAGGAUCAGCAAGCACCCUAGAUCCCUGCAGUAGGUGUGUACAAACAGACCGGAAGGGGAGACCUACCCAGCCGUCUCCCCUUCCUUGAUGGAAGACAGGCUGAGACGGUGGCUCUUCUUUUAAGAGGCUCUUCUUUUAAAGAACAAUUUGUUGAACACUUACUAUGUGCCAGGGGCUGUUCAAAGAGUUUUAUAGAGCUCAGCUCAUUUUAACCUUCGUAGCAAUCCUAUAGAGCAGCUACAUUCCUUAUCCCCCUUUUAAAGAUAGGAAGACUGAGGCACGGAGAGGUCACAUAACUUGGUCAAGAUCGUAUCUCCAGUAAACAGAGGAUUUAAGAUUCAAACUCAGGCAACAGGGCUGCUAAGCCUGUGCUGUUAACCAUCCCCUUAUAACAUUUGCAUAAUUACCCUUAAGUAUAUAUACACCUCCUCAUACUUAGGCCGUCUCACAUACAUAAUUGUGCAUAGAAACAUAUCAUUACCCAGACGCUAAUCACACCUAACAUCUAUACAGCAAUUUAUUUACAAAUCGCUUUUACACCUAGAUACAAUGCCCACUGAAAGAGGGAUUGUUGCCCUCUUAACCGUUAACAGACGUCAAUUAAGGCUGCCACUUACUGACUCAACUUACCACUAACUGGCUCGGUUAUUUGGCUGCAAGCGGUUUAUCCUCUCUUUCUUUCUUUCUUUCUUUCUUUCUUUCUUUCUUUCUUUCUUUCUUUCUUUCUUUCUCUUUUUUAAAAAAAAUUUUUUUUUAACGUUUAUUUAUUUUUGGGACAGAGAGAGACAGAGCAUGAACGGGGGAGGGGCAGAGAGAGAGGGAGACACAGAAUCGGAAGCAGGCUCCAGGCUCUGAACCAUCAGCCCAGAGCCUGACGCGGGGCUCGAACUCACGGACCACGAGAUCGUGACCUGGGCUGAAGUCGGACGCUUAACCGACUGAGCCACCCAGGCGCCCCUCUUUUUUUUUAAACCAAAGUAAAAUAGGCUCAGUAGGAAAAUUAAAACAGGGCAACGGGAAUAACGCGAAAAGUAGAAGUCCCCCCCCCUUUUCCUCCCGUUAUUUCUGUUUCCAGAGGUAACUGCUGCUGACAGUUUCUUUGUAACCCUUCUGGAAAUGGUCAGUGCACAUGUAAGUAAAUAGUAUUAGAGAUUCUAUUUGGCUUCAAAUCCUUGCAAUGUCUCACUUGCGAAGAAGCCCUGAUUCUCCUCCUUUUACAGAUGAAACUUAAAAGCAGGUGGCUCUCCGAAGUCACUCAGGUGUUGAGUGGAGAAGUUUGCUGCCCAUCCAAGUUUUCCUGGUCUGGAACCUGGUCCAGGUCUGAUGUCGUCACUGGUUCCUGGUUCCUGGUCUGGUGUCGUCAUCAUCAUCUUCUUUUCUCCUCCUCCUCCUCCUCCUCCUCCUCCUCCUUCUUCUUUCUUCUUCUUUCUUCUUCUUCUUCUUCUCCUCCUCCUCCUCCUUCUUCCUUUUCUUUUUUUUUUUUAAUGUUCAUUUAUUUUUGAGAAAGAGAGAGUGUGCAUGCAGGAGAAAGGCAGAGAAAGAGGGGGCCAGAGGAUCCAAAGUAGGCUCUGGGCUGACAGCAGACAGCCCAACGUGGGGCUUGAUCUCAUGAAUGACACUUUCAUGACCUGAGCCAAAGUCAGAUGUUUAUCCGACUGAGGCACCCAGACGCCCUGGAACCUGUGUCUUCUACACCCUCUGCCCCAGGGUUCCUUGCCUCCUCCAUCUCACGCUGGCACCGCGAUGGGCCAGCUGAGGUGAGAGCCCCCUCAUUCCCAUGGGCAGGCCGGGACUCUGCUGCUCUGUGCUUUUAGGGCAGGAUGGCCCCCUCUGACGACUCAAUCUAGGGGAGAACUUGCUGAUGGGAAGGGCAAGGAGCAGGCCCAGGAACUUGACUGAGAUGACCGUGGGGUCCACAUCCGCGGAGGGGCCCAUCCCAGGAUGCCCUCUGGGGUCCAUAUUGGGUUUCGCUGAGGCCUUGAGGGUUACAGAGAACUACAGGCCUCAGUGUCUGCAGGACCUCCCAGACAGGGACACAGGAUCGGGGAGGAAAGUGGUCCGGGGCUCCCAGGGAGGAGAGGGACAUUUAGAUGAGAACUCCAGCCCUCCAGAGGGAAGAGGCCGAGCAGGAGCAAAGACAGUACUGUUGCUCCUGGCUGUGAGGAGAGGCUCUGGAAGGCCCUGCCCCCUGGGUAAGCUUUCAGAACGACUCCCAGACCUGUCCUCAAGUCCUCUUUUGUACAGAGCCUUCAGGUUGGGGCCUUAGGAGAUGUGAGUUGCCAAGGUCCAGCCAUAGCCGCUGAGGCCUCGGAGGAGAAUCUCCCAAGGGACUGGGUGCAGUGGGCAUCUGACCCUGGCCGCCUGGGCUGUCCCUGCCUGGGCCUGCAUGCCUCAGGCCUGCGUCCCGGUUCUCACACUCCCUAUCCUCACACGGAGUGUAGACAAUGGGCCAGGCUGGCACCUACCCCUUCCCAGUCCUCGUGGGACGCUCUUUGGGACAGAAUCCUCAGUGAGGUGCUCCUUCCUAUCUGUCCAAGACGGAGCUUGUAUCAGGGAUCCCUGAGGCCAGUACUCGGAAGGGAGAGCGGUCUCGACGAGGCUUGUGAAAGCCCGAGGAGAGGCUGAAGGUGGACCCAUCUCUCUGCAAUUUCUGGGCCAGACUGACUCCAAGGGACCAGGUAAGCCUGCCCGAGGGCUCAACCCUCUCCCUCGGCACACGGCAGAGGUCCCCAGGUCCCUGUUACCCCCAGGAAUCAUGUCCACAUGCCUUAACGUGGACUUAUUACUCGUGAAGUCCCACAGCUCUGAUGUGUGCCAGGUGGACAUUUGUGGGACAGCCCGCUUCUAUCUGUUGAUAGUGACAGUGCUGGACUGGGGGUCUGAGGACAUGGGUCUGUUCCCAGCUUGCCUUCUAACUGACUUAAGUGCCUGGGACAAGUCACUUCCCCACUCAGCCUCAGUUUGCCCAUCUGUGAAAUGUGAGAGCUGGGCCGAGUUUGGAAUCGUGGAAAUCCAGGAAUGAGCUGGCGUGAGUGGGGUUGGCAGGGGGAGUUCUGCUCGUCGAAUUGAGGAGGAUCUCUGUCUAGGGAGCUGGGGAGCACUGUGGAAGGUGGGGACCCCUAAAAGGAUAUUAUUGGUCAUGAGGAAAGAAUGUACGUGUGUGUGCCAUCAGUGUGUUUAUAAGUGUGCUUGUGAUGUGCAUAUAUGUACACCGGAGCAUGAGUACAUGUGUAGGCGAGCGUGCAUUCGCGCGUACGUGUGUGUGUGUGUGUGUGUGUGUGUGUGUGUGUAGCAGCUAAUUGAUCCCUCCCUCCCAGCUGGGGUGGGGGAAGGGGCCAAGAAGGCACUCACUCAUUAGGAGGCAGCUAAUGGGCCCAAAUGGCCGUGUCAGCAAAGGCUGAGCUCAGAUGAGCUUCCUCCCGGAGGGGGGCAGGGGAGAGAUGUGAAAUAGGAAAGAGCGGGGAGAAGAAAGCAAAGAAGAGGGACAGAAAGAAGGGGAAAGGAUGAAGCUUGCUUUCCCAGGGGGAACUGUAACGUUUGCCGGGGCCUCACUUUGGCCCCAUCAAUAAAUAUUCCCACCUGCUUGGAGAAAACGCUCCAGUACCCAAGAAGGGGAGGGGGAGAAACGGGAUAGGGGACGGUGGAGGAAAGCGCGCCUAUGUUCCUGUGCCCCAGGCACAGUAUGUUCACGGACCCGCCUAUGCCUAUCGUGCACGCCUAUCCAUGCACGCAGGAGCCACGUGCUCACCCAGGGACACACCCCUCAGGCACAAACUGAGCACACAAAAGGGCAGGUGCAUGUGUGCACGAGGGUGUAUAUGCGCAUUCACCCCAGGAUGCUGGCUCUGUGUUAGGUGUGAGGGAGAUCAAAGUGAAGAGGACAGGUCCCUGCCCCCUGGAGGCUGACAUUUCAGUGGGGGUCCAUGCUAAUGAAACAGACCAUUCAUGUGGUUUGACACAGGCACACAUAGGUGGACUUCUCAGGACCCUGGGGGGAUCACCUGCCAUUCCUUUGCCUGGGGCCAUUUUCAUACUGAGGGGUGGGAAAGGGGGAACCAAGGCCAAAGUCUGUACCUCAGUCAGCUAAGCCCUAGGAGGAUGUGACCCUCGUGUCACAUCCAUUUCCCCCACACCCUUCCUUCACACACCAGACCGUUGCCAUUGCUUACAAAAUCUCUCACUUUCAAAUUGUGAAAACACUAGCUGCAUGCAUUGAUAAUAGCAAAUCAGAUUCAUAGUCUGGAUACCUGGCCGGGGAAUUCUCUAAACUUGAUUUUACAAGAGGAUUAUUUCUAUCUUGCACCAUUUACAAACUAGAUUCCAGAGGAAAUAAAAAUCUGAUUCUAAAAAUGUUAGAAGACAAUAUGAGCUAAAAUGGAAUAAUUUCACAUUAGAGAAGGCUGUUUAAAAUAAGACACAGGGGCGCCUCGGUGGCUCAGUCAGUUAAGAGUCAGACUUUGGCUCAGGUCAUGAUCUCGCGGUUCAUGGGUUCAAGCCCCACGUCGGGCUCUGUGCUAACAGCUGAGAGCCUGGAGCCUGCUUCAGGUUCUGUGUCUCCGUCUCUCUCUGCAGCCUCCCUUGCUCGCCCUCUGUCUCUCUCUGUCUCUCUCAAAAAUAAAUAAACAUUAAAGAAAAUUUAAAAUAAGACACAAACUAUAACAGCCAUCAAGAAAAGCACUGAAAAAUAUACAUCUAAAUUUAAAACUGCUUUCUGAUAAAAGAUUGAAAAUGACAUAGAGAGAAAAGCAACCAAAGCAUAACAAAUACUAAUAUGCAGAAUAACGAAUUCUAAUACACCAAUAGGAAAAAGAUUUUAAAAACCUACUUGAAAAAUGGGCAAAGUAUAUGAACAGGCAGUUUAUACAAGAAAUACAAAAUAUCCAAUAAACUUAAUAAAAUAUGUUCAACAUUAGAGCGAUGCAAUCAUAAUUAGGAAAAUGUAAAUUAGAACAAAGAUAAGAUUUAUUUUUGCUUGAUCCAUUAGAUUAGCAAAAUUCAGAAGACUGCUAUUAUCCAAUACUGGAGAGAGUGUAUGUAAAGUGGGUUGUCUCAUCAGCAACUGGAAGCACCAUAAAUUGCUCCAGUCCAGUCUUUUGGGAAGGUACUUUGGCAGUUUCUAUUAAAAUUAACAAGGCCCAUCUUUGUCUUAGCAGCUCUAUUUCUAGAUAUCCAUUAUCCUAACGAAAUACUCAUGUCUGUCCACAGAACCACAUACCAGGGAGUUCACUGAGCAUUUUUAAUAACAAUGAAAAGCUGGAACUAACCUACCAGUCCACUGGUGGGGCAAUGGCUAAACUAAAUAACAAUGGCAACCUGUGCUAUGGAAUGCUUAAUAUGUCGCAGUUAAAACUAAUGAGGCAGAUCUAUAGGUAUUGAGUCAGGACAUCUCUGUGCCAUAUUUUUUUCCAAACCAUAUUUUUUAAAAAAUAGAAACCUAGCUUAUUUUUAGUGUUUAUUUAUGUGUAUGUGUGUGUGUGUGUGUGUGAGAGAGAGAGAGAGAGAGGGAGGGAGGGAGGGAGAGAGAGAGAGACAAGCAUGACCAAGGGAGGGGCAGAGAGAAAGGGAGACACAGGCUCCAGCCUCUGAGCUGUCAGCACAAAGUCUGACAUGGGUUUGAACCCACGAACGGCGAGAUCAUGACCUGAGCCGAAGUUGGACGUUUAACUGACUGAGCCACCCGGGCACCCCCCCACAAGCCAUAUUUUUAACUAGAAAAUCAAAUUGCAGAAAAAUAAUGUGUACACAAAGCUAAAAACACACCCAAAAAAAUCUGUAUGUUUUCUCAUGUAUAAUAUUUACAUAUACGUGUAGACUCAUAGGAAAUUGUCUAGAAGGAUACCUAGUAAACUGACCACAGUAGUGAUCUCUAGGGAGGGUUCUGGAAUCUGAAAGGGUGCUUCAUAGUUAUUUCUUACAACAGGAAUGCAUCCAGGCCGCCUGGCUGGCUCAGUCACUAGAGCGUGCAACUCUUGAUCUCGGGGUCUUGAGUUUGAGCCCCACGUUGGGUAUAGAGCUUAUUUAAUAAAAAAUAAAUAAAUAAUAAAUGGACAAAAGAAUGCGUCCAUGGCUCACUUUUGAAAUUUAAAAUAAAAAGUUAACCGAAGGUAUUUUGAAUGACUUCCUGCAUGAAGGGGGCAGCAGUGAGACCCGACAUACACACAGGAGGAGGCACCAAGAGUUAUUAUCCAUUGAAUGAAGAGCGGAGAUCCUCUCUGGAAGCCAUGAUGCUUUGGCAGAUGUCACAAGGAUUCGCCUUCCAUUCCACUCCUGGGAUGUUAACAUUGGGGAGCUAUCCAGACUGACUGGCUAGAGCCCCUCAUUUUACAGAGGUGAGAGAGAUGGCCGGGGCCCUAGCCAUAGCUGCCGAAAGAUCACAAAAGGUUAAUGGAAGGCAGAGGGUGGCAAUUUGACCGUACACCUGUUUGACUCGUCAUUUGUUGUCUCGGAGACAGAUCCAGGCCCGGGGGCUCCUGGAUGUCGCCACCGGCACUGCCUUCUGUCCCAGCGAUUCAAAACAAAUAUUGGGUGAUGAUUGGUGCUAACAGUCACUCCCAGCAGCCCUCUGCAGUUGAUAGGAUCUUGCCUUGCACAUGUCCUCAUUUGUUCUCGUCAUGGCUCUGAAAGGUAGCCCCUGUUGCUAUCCCCAUGUCACAGAUGAGGAAACUGAGGCUCAAAGAAGUUAAAGACUUGGCCGGGCUCACUCAGACACCAAGAGGCAGCGCAAGACUCAUCCUCAUUCAUUUCGCAUCUUUACCCUUAGUUCUUCCUGCUGCAGCAAAAUUCCUUCUGGGAUUACCAUCUUCUUCCCACCUCGGUUUUUCUGGGCACGAGACUCGGCCCCGGCCUGACAUUUGCUCUGGGAAGAAUCCAGUUCUGAGGCUGAGCUCAGGCAAAGGACCUCACUGAGGCCUCGGGAUGGUGAUGAAGACCACGACGAGAGGCAAGACUGUGCAGUGACCUAAUCACAAGGGCAAGCCCUUGGCACCAGAUGCACCAGGGCUCUCUAGCUUAGAGAGCUUGAGCACAUGCCUCAACAUUUUUGCCUCUGUUUCUUCAUCCAUAAAGUAGCAAUAAUAUGAGAAUCUCGCUUGAGGAUGUGGGGAACAUACACUGAGAUAAUACAUAGAAAGGCCUUGGUUUGGGCCCCAGCAUUUUAUUAGCUCUCACUAAUACGCUGAAGGUGCUGAUGGCACACAUUUAUGGUGGGAUGCCCCUUCCGCCCAGGUAAGCACGACUUAAUCUCGGGUUUAGUCACACUUGCACUACAGACGGAGCUAUGUCAGAGAAAAGUGUGACGGCAGCCUGGGAACUCCGGAGGAGCACCUGAGGCCGGGAGAGGAUGAGCCGGCCUCCAGCUGCCAACAGGGAGAAAUAAACCCCCAAACAGGAAAACAAGCCCCGUGUCUUUAGAGUGGAUGGUCUGAGAGGCAGUCAGAACUCAUUGUCGGGGGAGGGCGAGGGGGAGGGCCGUGGUCAAGGGCAGGACGGGGCCAGUAUGCCAAGCAAAGAUGCCAGGAGGAUGGCCGGGGACAGGUUUUAGGGGUACUUAGGAUCCACAGUGAGAGUUGGCCAGAUAGGAUCCACAAGCCAGGGUGGGUCUGGAUUUCCCUUCCUCGGGGCUUUUGUGUCUAGAAGGAGCCAGAGAGGGAUAAAGUAGAGGGCCGAGGGACUCAGAAGGCUGAAUACCCAAAGCAGUCUCCAAGUCUUCUUGGCAGCGGCUGAUAGGGGACAUCCAGAGUCAUCCAAGGUCAAGGAGAGGGGCUCUCUGAGACAGUUCCAUAACAUUUUCCAGGCUGCUUCCUGUUGCCUCUCCCCAACUCUUGUCCCACAGGAGCCUAAGGCCAAACAGUUACCAGACUGUGGGGGCAGCCAGUGUGGAAGGAAGUGGCCUAGCCCAGCUGAGGUGUGGGGCGCUCUCGUUCGCCAACUGCCCGUCCAGGGGCCGCUCUCGAGCUUCCUCCCCCUCCCCCUCGCUCCACAUCCACCUGAUCAUGAAACCCUCCCUAGGAUUUCUAACAUCUCCCUUCCUUCUCCCUGCUUUCCCUGCCCAGGCCACCACCUUCCGCCUGGACAGAGGCAAUGGCCUCCUCGCUGCUGUCCCACCCUCCCAUCCACCGCUCGUGGCCACAAGAAUAAU
rnacentral:lncRNA from 1 species